CGUAGGGCGCAAGCGUUGUCCGGAAUUAUUGGGCGUAAAGAGCUCGUAGGCGGUCUGUCGCGUCGGAUGUGAAAGCCCGGGGCUUAACCCCGGGUCUGCAUUCGAUACGGGCAGACUAGAGUGUGGUAGGGGAGACCGGAAUUCCUGGUGUAGCGGUGAAAUGCGCAGAUAUCAGGAGGAACACCGGUGGCGAAGGCGGAUCUCUGGGCCAUUACUGACGCUGAGGAGCGAAAGCGUGGGGAGCGAACAGGAUUAGAUACCCUGGUAGUCCACGCCGUAAACGGUGGGAACUAGGUGUUGGCGACAUUCCACGUCGUCGGUGCCGCAGCUAACGCAUUAAGUUCCCCGCCUGGGGAGUACGGCCGCAAGGCUA
rnacentral:rRNA from 1 species